GUAGUCUCGCACAGAUGCAUAUCAAUAAGCGGAGGAAAAGAAACUAACAAGGAUUCCCUUAGUAACGGCGAGUGAAGCGGGAAGAGCUCAAAUUUGAAAUCUUCAAGGUUUUACCUUGACGAAUUGUAGUUUAAAGAAGUGCUUUCUGUUGAAGUUUUGGUAAAAGUUCUUUGGAAUAGGACAUCAUAGAGGGUGAGAAUCCCGUAUUUGACCAUUAUUUUCAGCUGUGUGAUACACUUUCAAAGAGUCGGAUUGUUUGGGAAUGCAGUCCAAAAUGGGUGGUAAAUUUCAUCUAAAGCUAAAUAUUGGCGAGAGACCGAUAGCGAACAAGUACCGUGAGGGAAAGAUGAAAAGAACUUUGAAAAGAGAGUUAAACAGUACGUGAAAUUGUCAAAAGGGAAGCGUUUGACACCAGUGUUGUUUUUCUGAAAAUCAAUUAAAGAACUGUUUAUGCUAAGCUGUUUAGACUUUAUCAGCUAUACUGUUUAGUUUUGAGCUUUUCUUUAAUGCACUUUUCAGUUAACAAGUCAACAUCAAUUUCUUUUGCUGUAAAAAAGCUUGAGGAAGGUGGCUUGAGAUUCGUCUUAAGUGUUUAUAGCCUCUUGCCUAUGCAGUCGGAGAGAUUGAGGUCUGCAGCGUAGAUCCUUCGGGGCUAAAUGCAUUUGUGCUAAGUUAUAGCAUUUUAUAGACAACUUGUUGACUAUGAUUUGUCUUGUAGCUUACUCGCUUAUGUUAUUUUACCUACGCUUAGGAUGUUGAGCGCAUGUCUCUCUCU
rnacentral:rRNA from 1 species